rnacentral:lncRNA from 1 species
AUUUUGUUACACUGUGAUAAUUCAGAACCUAGUGUUUCAUUAGUAUGGUCUGAAUUAUCUUCCAAUUUAUUUAUCUGGAUAUUUACCUACAUUGAAGUCACUAUCAUAUUUCUGCAUCUUUUUCUUAGAACUAUAAUCUACAAAAUAGUCAUUUCUUCAAACACUCACUGAAUAUACAUUACAGGUGAAAGGUGUAUAAGACAUAGUGCUAUUUCUAGCAGCCUCACAAUGUUUGUCCUGACAGUCCAAUCAGCAUGGAAAAGCAAAACACUUGGACAAAUCAAUUUUAUAUAAUCUGAAUACAGAAGAUAAAUUCAUAAUCUGAACACUUCCAUGAUGGUGAAACAGUGCUGUAAUAAUGUUGGUAGAUAAAGCUUUAUUCUUGGGGCUGGGCUGUGGCUCACUUGCCUAGCAUGCAUGAGGCACUGAGUUUGAUCCCUGGUACCAUAUAC